GACGAACGCUGGCGGCGUGCUUAACACAUGCAAGUCGAACGGAAAGGCCCUGCUUUUGUGGGGUGCUCGAGUGGCGAACGGGUGAGUAACACGUGAGUAACCUGCCCUUGACUUUGGGAUAACUUCAGGAAACUGGGGCUAAUACCGGAUAGGAGCUCCUGCUGCAUGGUGGGGGUUGGAAAGUUGCGGCGGUUGGGGAUGUGCUCGCGGCUUAUCAGCUUGUUGGUGGGGUAGUGGAUUACCAAGGCUUUGACGGGUAGCCGGCCUGAGAGGGUGACCGGCUACAGUGGGACUGGGAUGCCGCCAGGACGCCUACGGGAGGCAGGAGUGGAGAAUAGAGGGCGAAGGGCGGAAGGCUGAUUGAGCAACGCCGCGUGCGAGAUGACUGCCUUCGGGUUGUAAAACGCGUGCAACUGUGUCGGAGCGUGAGUGACGGUAAUGGGCAGAGAAGCACCGGCUAACUACGG
rnacentral:rRNA from 1 species